CAGAGUGGAGCUGCUCCUGCCUGUUUGCUGCCUGACUGACUGUUAUUACAAUACAGAAGGGAGAUGACUCUCCAAACACUGUCCAUUUGGGUCAUUCUUCACUUGGACAGAUGUCACUCUCAGUUGCUAAUAACACAUGAAAGCAAAAAAAGGAUAGAAUGAGAUCAUGAAUAUGAAGACAUCGGCACAGAACGUGGCAAAAAGUAACUGUAUGAUGGAUAAAUAAAUAACAACAAGAAAAGUAAUUUUAAAAAUCCAUCUUCUAUGUGACUAGACAUCAGAGUAUGGGCUCCUGGAAAGCCCCCAUUUGGCCCAAGCCCCAAAAUUCCCUCUGAUCGGCUCUUUUGGAACUCAUCCCGCUGAGGCGAUGGCUGCCCCUACACAUUCUGAUUCUAGGAGUUGGAGUCUCUGCUUUGACUGCAGUGAGAAAGAGUCCUGAGAAAGCAGCUCUCCCAGACCUAUUGGUUCUCCACAGGCUGCCCUUAGUGGGUUCAUCUACCAGCCAUGAGAGCAGUGAAGCUCAGCUCACCAUUCAGAAAUAAGAAAUAGUGAAAGGGAUUAUAAGGGAAAGGAGGAGAAUUGAAAGAAAAAUUUAGAGAGGGGGACAAACCAU